rnacentral:rRNA from 1 species
ACGAAGGAUGCAAGCGUUAUCCGGAUUCAUUGGGUUUAAAGGGAGCGUAGGUGGUCUUCUAAGUCAGUGGUGAAAUCUCUCGGCUUAACUGAGAAAUUGCCAUUGAUACUGGAGGACUUGAGUGUAGUCGCCGUUGGCGGAAUAUGACAUGUAGUGGUGAAAUACAUAGAGAUGUCAUAGAACACCGAUUGCGAAGGCAGCUAACGAAACUAUAACUGACACUGAGGCUCGAAAGUGCGGGGAUCAAACAGGA